CAUCGGCCGGGAAUCGAACCCGGGCCGCCCGCGUGGCAGGCAAGCAUUCUACUACUGAAUCACCGA
rnacentral:tRNA from 1 species